CAUCCAAAUGCCAGAAACACAAGUGGCCCUGAGGGUGAUAACAAUGUAAAUAUGGCAACUUUGGCGACUGUGGCUGACGUUCAGCAAUCCAAAGAUGCAGCGUUACAGCAGGACAAUACAUUUAAAAUUAAAGAAGAUAUGGACGAGAACAAAGAGGAAAAUGCUAUGACUGAUAUAUUA